GAUCCUGGCUCAGGAUGAACGCUAGCUACAGGCUUAACACAUGCAAGUCGAGGGGAAACGACAUCGAAAGCUUGCUUUUGAUGGGCGUCGACCGGCGCACGGGCGAGUAACGCGUAUGCAACCUGCCCGAUACCGGGGUAUAGCCCAUGGAAACGUGGAUUAACACCCCAUAGUACUUUUAUCCUGCAUGGGAUGUGAGUUAAAUGUUCAAGGUAUCGGAUGGGCAUGCGUCCUAUUAGUUAG
rnacentral:rRNA from 1 species